CGGACGGGUGAGUAACGCGUGGAUAACCUGCCUCACACUGGGGGAUAACAGUUAGAAAUGACUGCUAAUACCGCAUAAGCGCACAGUACCGCAUGGUACAGUGUGAAAAACUCCGGUGGUGUGAGAUGGAUCCGCGUCUGAUUAGCCAGUUGGCGGGGUAACGGCCCACCUAGUCUUCGAUGGAUAGGGGUUCUGAGAGGAAGGUCCCCCACAUUGGAACUGAGACACGGUCCAA
rnacentral:rRNA from 1 species